UCUCUGGGUAACCCUUGGUCGAGAAUACUCUCCCUAAUGUGCCUGGGUUGCCAGAGAAGAGAGUAUUUAUCUGAGAAACUGCUUUGAUAGUAUCAGUAAUAUCACCAUUUUACAGACAAGGAGACAGAAGCUUAGAAAUGGUAAGUUUACCAAUGGGUCAUAAGAGGAAACCUGACUUGCCCAUAAGACCUGACCAUAAGAGGUCAAGUCUUCCACUUUGCCUAAGUGAAGCCAGGCUUCCCAAUUAAUAGCUCAGCACUCAGGGAGCCACACUGCAAUGAGUUACAGCACCAUCCAUCCAUGGCCUAGAACCAGCGCUUUGUUCCAACAACAUAGGUCUACGUUACCCAGUCCACACUCCCUCUCCCUCUUGCUGAUUUUCUUUUAUUUUAUUGUGUAGAUUCAAAUAUGUAAAAAAGUAUGAAAAAGUAUCUUUCAUCAGUUUAAUUAUCGGCUUCUUCUAAACCCGCGCUGUUUCCAAGCUGCAUAUCCAAUUUUGAAGUUCCUAUUCCAAAACCAGUGGGUAGGAAUGAAAUUACUUUACCUACGUGUAACUCAGAGGGAUCACUGAGUGAUUAUUUCGAGAAAAUGGAACAACUUGCUCCAAGGCCUUUGAAGGAGGAAGACCAUCACCAGCAGAGUGGGCUGCACCACCUGUGUUGUGUGGAUCAGCAUGAUGGAUGCGGAGGAGACCUGAAGAUGCUGCAAUGGCAGAUUUGCUCUACAGGGAGAUGCUGGGUGCCACCAGACAGAAAGACCCCACAAAGUGAUGCUAGAGGGGCAUGGCUGGAUGGGUGGGAUGAGAGAAGAACUGCAGGAGCUCCAGUUGCCAGCUCAAACAGUGCCUGGACCCGUGUAUUUUGUUCAGAGAAUUGCCGCACCGGGACUCCAGAAAAACAGCGGUGUUGGUGAAAACAGCUGCAUAGGCCAACACAGCUGCACAGGCCAAAACAGUCAUACUGGCCAAAAUGGCCAUGCUGGCGACCCGUGGGGCUCCUCUGCCUGGAAAUCUCCUGGUCUGUGGGCAAUAAAAAUCUGUUUGGAGAUGUGGCAUCCACUCACCCUCCGCUCUUUCACUGGGAGCUGCAAUCCUAAGGUGCUCCUAAUCAGCCAUCUUGGAUCCCUUGACCUAAAAAAAUUUCUUAACAAGAAUUAUGCCCUCCCCCAUCACAGAUUUUUGUGUUUGUAUUUAAGAGGCAACAUAUUAAAAAAAAAUUUCCAGCCUGAGUGUGUCGUAUUUAGAUGUGAAAUAGAUAUCAGCUCUUUUUUCAUUUCUUACAGACUUGACAAGUGCUUGUACUAGAUACCAAGGCCAAGGCAAAGAUGAAUAUGACACAGGUCAGGAUGGCAAAUAUGUUUUCUUUCAUGCACCAGCUCUCAUGAAGUGGUGCAGCCUCAGGGAGUACUGUGUUGAGAUGGGUUUUAAGGGUCAGCACAGAAGAGUGUCAUAGUAGAUUAGCUGUAUCCUCCAAGGCUCAGGAGGGAGUAGUGAGGAACACAAUGUCACAAAAGGCCAUCACUGGCACAGCUCUGCUUUGGGAAGUCAGAGCUAAAGGAGUGUAAAAUUUAUCUAGAAGAAAUGAAUAGCUAUUGAACACAAAGAGAGUGGUAGACACUUUUACAUGUGUUAUGUCUUGAAUGCACUCAGCAAACUGCAGAGGAAUGAAUUACUCUUUGCAGGACAGUGCUCCAAGUGGCCUUGGACUGACCCAGUUUUUACUCCUUUUGUACUUGUAGUUCUCAAGAAUAAAUGUAGAAUGUGCUAGGAAUGUAGCA
rnacentral:lncRNA from 13 species